GGCAGCAGCCGCGGUAAGUACCAGCUCUUCGAGUGGUGUGGAUGUUUAUUGGGCCUAAAGCAUCCGUAGCUGGCUAGGUAAGCCCUUGUAAAAUCCACCGAAUUAAUCGUUGGAUCGCGGGGGAUACUGCUUGGCUAGGGGACGAGAGAGGCAGACGGUAUUUUUCGGGGUAGGGGUGAAAUCCUAUAAUCCCGGGAAGACCACCAGUGGCGAAGGCUGUCUGCUAGAACGCGCCCGACGGUGAGGGAUGAAAGCUGGGGGAGCGAACCGGAUUAGAUACCCGGGUAGUCCCAGCUGUAAACGAUGCAGACUAGGUGUUUGAACGGCCACGCGCCGUUCUAGUGCCGCAGGGAAGCUGUUAAGUCUGCCGCCUGGGGAGUACGAUCGCAAGAUUGAAACUUAAAGGAAUUGGCGGGGGAGCACCACAAGGGGUGAAAGCUUGCGGUUUAAUUGGAGUCAACGCCGGAAAUCUCACCGGGAGCGACAGCAGUGUGAAGGCCAGAUUAAAGGUCUUGCCAGACGAGCUGAGAGGUGGUGCAUGG
rnacentral:rRNA from 1 species